GUGCAAUGUAAAGUAAUUACUGUGUAAAAUUAGAUUUUUUUCCUGUACUGCUCCAACAACUGGAAAGUUGAAUGAUACGAUCAAGUUUAAAUUGAAGAAUGCACAAAAUGGGUAAAGGAAGUCAGCGUAAAUGCAGAUGCUCCAGUGGAUAGCGCGAGCUUCAAACCAAAUGCUAUUGCGAGAUUGCUUUCAGGCAUUGGCACAGUGAAUGGCAGCUGAAAAAUUUUGACCCUUGUUUCUGGAAGUGAAAUGUUAGAUGGUUUGAUGAAGUGCCACAGAGAUUAUCGCUUAAAGAAUGCGUGCAGGCCAACCACCAACACAAGAUAUUAAAAAAGCAAUGAAAAUGAAGAUUUAACCAUAAAAAAAAUUCUGAGUAAUAUUAUUACUCAUAACACUUAAUUGUUUCAUAUUAUUGUAAAUUUAUGUGAGUAUUCCUGUAUUCUGUUUAUUUUGCAGCUUAUGUUAUUGUAAAUUCAUGUAUAUGUUUUCAUUCUUGCUCUGUCAUGCAUUUCAUACAAUAAUCGUUUGUUGUGCAUAUUAAUUAUAUGUGUAUAUUACAUCAUUGAAUUACUGUAUUUGAAUUUUAAUAAACCUUUUUACCAUUCAGUAGUACUUUUCCAUAAAACCCUGAACAUUCUAAACAUCCCAUAUCACUAAUCCUCAAUUCUAAAUAAUACUUGAGUUUACUUAAUUCAUGUAUUAAUAACGAAUUUGAAAAAUA
rnacentral:lncRNA from 1 species